GGGCGGGUAGCGUAGUGGUCAGCGCGUUCCUAAGCGUCUCAGCGUUGUUUUCUUCCCUAAGUACACCUCUCUUCAGCGUUUAGCGAAACUCCUGGGUUCGAAUCCCAGCCCGCCCA
rnacentral:tRNA from 1 species